CCCAAGGAUCCUUGCCGGAACUUAGUCUUCUGUACCCUGUCUGCCUUCAUACCCGCGUCGACAAGCUGUGCGUCUCGUCAGUCAUAGCCUUCUUUGCUUCCCGGACUGCCUCUUCGAUCCUCGACCCCCGCUUGGACACGGAUCUCCUACGCCCUGACCAUCCGACUGCCUUCAUGUCUUGUCCUUCCUCUCGAUCCAACACGAGGUCUCUCAACUCUAUUGACAAGAUCUUCUCGACAAGAAGCGGAGAUUCGGGGGGGUCCUGCCUCUCCUGACGGAACGUUUGCAGUUGGAUACAUGGGGGACUAUUUGGAAAACUGGAGAAUCAUGUGUCUGGCAAUUAUUUCCAUUAAAGAUAUCUAUCUAUUUGAAACUGUGAUAACAGGUUAAAUGCUGGUUGGAUUGAGCGUUGCUCUGGUCUAUCGACAAAUUUGGAAGAUGAUGGCAGUCAUUCAAGGAGCCCAAAGGCUGCCCGUCGUGAUGGAUGGGCUGGGUAGAACUCUCGGCACUCAGACUUUGGCGAUUUCUUAAUUGAAUCGCAAUUUGGAUAACAUCUUGGAGAAACUAUCCAUUUUGCAAGGCAAAAUUCUGAUCAAUUUGAGAGCCAGAACCAAUGACGACAGCAGACAAACCAUUGGAAUGUGUUGGCUAGCCCGAACCGAAACAAUCCUUAUCUACAAUUUGGCUCCCUCUGCAUUGACCAAGGCAGGGUUAUGCCCU